GACGAACGCUGGCGGCGUGCCUAAUACAUGCAAGUAGAACGCUGAAGAGAGGAGCUUGCUCUUCUUGGAUGAGUUGCGAACGGGUGAGUAACGCGUAGGUAACCUGCCUUGUAGCGGGGGAUAACUAUUGGAAACGAUAGCUAAUACCGCAUAACAAUGGAUGACCCAUGUCAUUUAUUUGAAAGGGGCAAAUGCUCCACUACAAGAUGGACCUGCGUUGUAUUAGCUAGUAGGUGAGGUAACGGCUCACCUAGGCGACGAUACAUAGCCGACCUGAGAGGGUGAUCGGCCACACUGGGACUGAGACACGGCCCAGACUCCUACGGGAGGCAGCAGUAGGGAAUCUUCGGCAAUGGGGGCAACCCUGACCGAGCAACGCCGCGUGAGUGAAGAAGGUUUUCGGAUCGUAAAGCUCUGUUGUAAGUCAAGAACGAGUGUGAGAGUGGAAAGUUCACACUGUGACGGUAGCUGACCAGAAAGGGACGGCUAACUACGUG
rnacentral:rRNA from 1 species